GGCGGAAGAGGACGCUGCGCGCGGCGGCCCUGGCGGGGGGAAAUGGUUCCCGCGCCCUGGGGGCGGUUCCAGCCGCAGCGCGGCGCCGCGCCCGUUGCUGGGGGAGGCGGAGCCGCGGCGGCGGCCGCGGGAGCGCGGGCGCUGGCGCUGGCGCUGGCUCAGCUGGGGGCCGCGGGAGCGGCUGUGCCCUGCGGGCCGGGGGCUCCCUCGUCCCCGGCAUGGCGGGCUGUCCCGGCGGGCGGCCGUUAGCGCCCGCUGGACCGUGGUGUGUAGCUCGAUACGUUGUCGCGGCCUGUCCCCUCGCGUGUGGCGUCGGCGGCGUGCGGCUCGUCGGCCCGGUUCAGGCCGGGUGCCGGGGCGAGACGCGGGAAAGAGCCCGCGGACGGGGGCCUCGGCGGGAGCAGGGCUCGCCGCGGGGAGACGCGCGGGCGCGUAACCCCUUCCGCUAGGGCGGGCUGGACGUUGGGCAGCCGCGAUGGGUUCUGACAGUACCGGGAAACCGCUAAGGGCAGGGAUGCGGCACCCGCUGUCCUCAGGCUCACCUGGAGAACGUUUCGGGAGGUAGCGAAAACAGUUUCGCACAAAAUAAUUUGUUCAGCCGAGCGCUUUGGCUUAUGGAACUGACCAUCAGGAAUACAUUACUGGAAGUGUCCUGACUGCCACUGACUGAUGCUGCAUUGUGUCCGCGAUAUUUUGGAAAGGAAUCAUGCUUCUGCCUGUGCAUAAUCUGCUCCAAGAUCCAGAGCUCGCAGCUGAGGAUGUUACAGAAACUCCUGAUAAUGACUGUUCUGCCUCUCCAAAACCAUUGGUUCUUUUGGGCAGCGGUACUUUAAUGGAUGGGAAGCUGUUUAAUUUUGAUUGUUACAAUGACGAACAGCAUUUGUAGUGCUUCAUUUUAGGAAAGAAACAGAGUUGUCGUGUAUGCCCAAAUUCUCAUUGUGUUAGUAUUCUGAUGUUCUGCUUCUCAGAAUCUAGAUGGGCAGCAAUUGGCAGUUAUCCAUUUGAAUAAAUAACCAUACAGCAUAUUCUGGAUAGAAAGCUUGUUUAUCACUGAACAAAAAUCCAAGUAGUAUCCUGAAGUAAAUGAUAAAUAUGCCAGCAGUUUUUGGUAAUGUUUGCAGAUAUAUAUUGUUCUUUUAUUCUCUUUUCAUCUAUAAACAGAUGUAAAUAAUGCCACUCCUGUAUUUUCACUUAAAAUGCAUGUAGUAAGCUUGCUAAUAAGAUUAAAAUAUAAUCAAAGUCUGUUACUAGGUAACUGUGAGACACAACAGAAACAUUUAUAAUAGUAUCUUAGCGUUAAUUACUUUUAACAUAUUUAUUCCCUCUUCUGUCAAGUAAGUGGAAAGAGAAGUUCAUCUUGGUGUGUUUCACCUGUGUUAUUAAAUACUGUCAGUAUAACAUG